CACGAUCCGCACCCGAUGUAUCGUUGAGACUCUUGACUAGAUUUAAGAGUUUUUCAAUGUCUUGAUUUUUGGUAGUACUAGUACUAGGCUUGGUAGGCUUUGGUUUAGAUUUCAUCAUAGCAUCAUCAAAUCGUACAAUUUUAACAUUGUCAGACAUUGGUAUAGUGUUGGGACUCCUCUUGCUUCUGUGAUUCACUCGGUUCAUUGUUUCCAAAUCGCUCACGGUCACAUCUAUGGGCGGUAGUUUAAAAUUGGGAUCGACGUUUUUACGCCAGCCCGACACUGUCCAUUUGUCGUCUAUGGCCGGAGGUGGAUCCUUUUCGAGAGGCGGUAAAGUUUUGCCGUUACCGUUCGACAUGGCGGUCAGACCGGCAUUUAUCAGCUUGAUUACGGCAUCGCCCACUAUUAUGUUGGCCAAUUUAUUAUACCAUUUAGUGUAGCAGGUACGAGUGUCGGGAUCGAACGCUUCGUAGUAAACGUCGCAAUAGUAUUUGUUAAAGUGAUACGUGUCCGUGGACGGCUCAUAGUCAAAGCCGGUGUCGAGAUCGUUUAGCCUAGGCGCGUACAGUUCACUGGACCGAUACCGGGGAAUCUCCAUCCAGGUGGCUGCAAAAGGUACGAUAUUGCAAGUGUUGCUAGUCUCUGACCAACGGUAGCGAACGUUGUGUGGCUUGUCGGUACCGUCAUCGGUGUGCACGGCCGUUUCGAACAAGUGGAAGCAGGCCGGAUUGCAUUGAACCUCAAAGUUUUCACUCUCGCCCAAUCUAUAGUAGCUGGCCGCAUCCGUCUUUUUGCAGGGUCCGUGCACACCGGACGAGUUGCACGAAAUGCUCUCGCACAAUUGUUUUGUAAUCUCUGCCUCUACGAAUAUGGCCUCGGAGGCCAUUGCCGGUGGAAUGUAAUAAUCGGCAUCGGUGGCCGCUCUGACGUUGACUUUCAAGUGCGACGCCAAGAAUGGAUACUUUUCGUUGAGCUUGUGCAGUAGCAUCAAGAGUUUACGAUGGUACGAAAACUUGGAGGCAUUUGCAAUGUCUAGUUGGGUGUAGGUUGUGGUGGUAGUGGUAGGAUUAGGAUUAAGGUUAUUAGGUACAUUAGACAUUGUUGAUUGUAUGGAUUCAUUAACCUAGCAUAUACAUACACGCAAACGUGAUAUUUAUACAAAGAUUUAUACCUAAUAUUUAUUAAGUACUCGAUAAGUACAAAGAUUCAAGUACCUAGUAAUACUAUGGGGAACGUGCAACUCUCUCUUCCUUUUGAAGGAAUUUAAACUUUUUGUACAAUAAAAUUAACAAGCAAGAUUAAUAUGCAAAUAGCAAUAACGUGCAGGUUAAUAUGCAAAUUUUAAUGAGGAGUUCAACUUAUGAGACUUUUAUGACAAUAUCAAGUUUUGUAAAUAAAAGGUUAUUUUCAACUGCAACAAUGUGUGAUGCAAAUUUGAGUUUGUACAGAGUAGCUCUAUUAAAAAAGAAUACUGCAAGCGUUGUUCAUUUUAUACACAACUUGUCGUAUACGAGUACUAGUAACACUACUAGUGCUACAACUAGUACCACUACUACUAAUACAACUAGUACAACUAGUACAACUAGUACCUACUACAACCCAUCAUAGAGGUUUACCAAUUCUUGUAAUCUUGUAAUCUUGUAAUAUAAACUAAAACUAAAUAUUCUUACAUUACCAAUUCUCUUUACAAUACCAAUCAUCAUUAUAUAAUACCAAUUCUUACAAUACCAAUUCUUACAAUACCAAUCAUCCUUACAAUUAGUACAACUGCCAAUUAUAGCUCUAUGUAGCUCUACCACCAGCUACUACACUCUACACUCUACACUCCGGCACUCUACAUGAUCCAGUACAUGCUCCAUUCUACACACUACGGCACUCGGCACACUCUACUCUACACACUCUUAUCCUAAUACUCUUACAAAUAUUUAAACAACAAAUAACAAGCAAUAGCAACAACAUAGGCGGACUUUAAGACUUUACUGUAAACUAGGAUGUUCAGACUACUUUGAUAAACUAGGACUUUAAAACAAAUUGAUACAUUAUAAUAAAAGUACAACAAAAGCACAACAACCCACUACCUCCCUUCAAACAUCAAAUCCCUUGGAUCUUUACAAGUACUUUAAAUUUCCAAACAUUUUAGAUCCAUGAUUAAAGUACAAGUCUAUGCGAUCCGGUAGCAGGCUUAGCGCAGUCUUGAACGCUCUCGAAUGAUCACGUUCUUUGGGAUUUAGUCGCAAAUAGAAUGUAUAGUCGCCUAUGUAGUUGCUGGGCUUGUCGUCCACCAGGCACGAGUAUGUAAUCAUUGUAGUUUUAAACUUUCGAUUCAGCUGCUUGAGUACAAAACCGAUGCCCUUGUUGAAGCCGUACGAUGUGUGGUACGAUCUCGUAAUGACAAUGUCAAACAGAGAAUAGAGUCGCAACCGCUUCAAGUGUCCGAUUACGUGACCGGGGUCUCCGUGCGACCACACCACCAUUCGUUUAAAGUGCUUCUUGAACUGCAACAGGUAGUGGAUGAGAUCCUCGGACGUUAGCGUGCCAUCGUCGUUGAUGAGCGUCUCGUCCAGAUCCCACACCACCACCGAUUCGUGCCGUUCGAUGGAUUGCUUAAAGGUUCUGUACAGCUUGAUAAUGUGAGAGAUGAGCGCUUCGCUAGUGGGAAACUCUUCGCCGUUCACAUAGUCUACGUACAAGUUUUGCUGGAUCAGGUAGUCGACGUUUUCAAAGUAGACCAGCACCGAGUAACCAAUGGAUCUGGCACCGGUCUCGUCCCAUUUCCCCUGGCACACUUUGUCGUUGAUGACCAAAUUUUGAAAUACACUGGCCAGGUUAAAGUGAAUCAAACGAUUCCGCUUCUUGUAGUUGGAAUCGACUAUUCUACAAAAAGACAUGGCGACUGCAUCUGGUAUACGUUUUAACGCGUACAACGAGCAUAUUCAAUAUUCGAUAUAGGUCAUAAGACGUUUACCCUAUUGC
rnacentral:misc_RNA from 1 species